UUAAAUAUGCAGAGCCAUUUAGUAUGCAAUGUCGAAUGUUUUUUUAGUUAUUUACUACAGUAGGGAAUGAUAAGGUUAUUGCAUUGAUUUAUACUAACUUAUCUCACGAGUUCUUGUUGAGUUUUGUGUGGAUGAAGUUUUUGAGAUUUAGGGAAACCAUGAUAUAAAAGGAAUUAAGGAGACACAAAAGUUCAAGGUUGGGGAUGCCCAAGGCAUCCCAAGAUAAUAUUUCAAGAAGUCUCAAUCAUCUAAGCUUGGGGAUGCCCCGGUAGGCAUCCCACCUUUAUUCAUCAACAAUUAUCGGUUAGUAUCGGUUGAGUCUAAGUUUUUGCUUGUUCACAUGAGUUGUGCUAUUCUUGGAAUGUCAUUUUAUUUUGUUUUGAUUGUUGUUUUAAUAAACUACUUAGAUCUGAAAGGUUUAAAUAAGAGAGAGUCCUCAAUUAGCCACCCAUUUACUUAAGUACUCGCAUGAUCUUCACUUAUAUCUUUUUGGAGUAGUUUGUCAUUUACUCUCGUGCUUCACUUAUAUACUAUGAGUAAAUUGUUGAAUAAAUUGAAUGUAAUGAAGUUGAAAUUAUAUGUUCAUAUCAUGCCUAGUGGUAGCUUCACAUUGGGUUUAGAAAGUGAAAUCUUUUGAAGCUUGACAAUCACAAUAUUGGUCAUACAAGCAAUUCAUGCAUGAAUGAUUACUAUAAGGAAGAGAACAUUCACAUGCAAAUAUAUUAUCUUGGACAUCUUCUAUGAUUGUGAAUACCCAUUAAUUAUUUUCAAACUUGAGCAAAAUAGUUGAAGUUGGACAAGGAAGACAACGUAAUGAGUUAUGGUUGUGUAUAUUUGGAUAGAAGUUAUAUUGUCAUGCGUCCUCCAACAUGUGGUGUUUGCCUAGGAUCUUUUGCUAGCCAAAAAUUCAUACUAAGUAGAGAUACUACUUGUGCAUCCAAAAACCCCUUAAACCCAGUUUCUUGCCAUGAGUGUCCACCAUACGUACCUACCUAUGGAUUGAAUAAGAUCCUUCAAGUAAGUUGUCAUCGGUGCAUAAAGCAAUAACAAUUGCUCCUAAAUAUGUUUGAUCUUUUAUUGUAAGGGAAAAUUGAGCGUUAUACGAACUUGUGAUGACAAAGUAAUAAAAGCGACGGACUGCAUAAUAAAGGUUGCUAAUAUAACAUGGUGUUCCUUUGCAUUAAGAGUUUGGGCAUCCAAAAAUUAAAAGCGCAUGACAACCUUUGCUUCCCUCUGCAAAGGGCCUUACUUUUCAGUAUUUACUUUUAUGCAAGAGUCAAUAGUAUGCAUUCCCAUUUGAACCUCAAUUACUCUCUAGUUGGCAAGCAUCAUGUGGUGGGGAAAGAUCUAGGCACAUAUGACCAGUCAAAUAUAUUUGAUCAUGAUUUAUUAUUUUUGACAAUUAUCUCUAUGAUAAAUGAGUUGGGAGGCAAAAUAUUAAGCCCCUAUCUUUCUCUGUGUUCGAUGGAUGCCAUUUGUUCUAAGAAUAUGCUUUGAGUAGUAGCAAUCAUGGAAGACUAUAUGAUGAUUGAGUAUGUGGAGCUCUUACUUAGACUCUAUUGAAUAAGUUGAAUCGCAAUUGUUUGGUGACUAAGAAUAUAGGUUGUUGAGUUUCAAGAGAAUUCAUUGCUUGAACCUUAACAUGUGAAUUGGUUGCUACUUUGUCAUGAUGAGUUUUAUGAGAAAGAGUUGCUAUUAUGAUGCUAGGAAAAGUGAUUGAAAUUAUCAUUGAUCAAACUUAUGCACUAUGCUAGCAUUCACAUUUCAUAAAUUAUUUGUUUUAUCAUUUACCUACUCGAGGACGAGUAGGAAUUAAGCUUGGGGAUGCUGAUACGUCUUCAACGUAUCUAUAAUUUAUGAAGUAUUCAUGCCAUGUUUACAAGAAUUUUAUAUGGUUUUGGUAUGAUUUGCAUGGAACUAACCCGGACUAACGUUGUUUUCAGCACAACUACCGUGGUGUUGUUUUUUGUGCAGAAAUGAAAGUUCUCCAAAUGAGCUGAAACUUUUUGACGAUUUUUCUUGGAACAAAGAGACCCCCGAAGCAUCAUGGAAGGAACAGAAGGUGAAGGAGUAGGGCACAAGACACCGGGGCGAGCCAGGGGGCCCAGGCGCGCCCCGGUGGGUUGUGCUCACCGCGAGGCCCAUCUUCGCGUGAACCGAAGCCAAAAAUCCUAUAAAUAGAGAAACCAUCAAAAAUAACCCUAGAUCAGAAGUUCCACCUUAGCAAGCCUCUGUAGCCAGGAGAAACCAAUCUAGACCCCGUUCCGGCACCCUGCCGGAGAGGGAAAUCAUCACCGGUGGCCAUCUUCAUCAUCCCGGCGGCCACCAUGAUGAGGAGGGAGUAGUCCACCCUCGGGGCUGAGGGUUUAUACCAGUAGCUAUGUGUUUAAUCUCUCUCUCUCUCUCUCGUGUUCUUGAGAUGGCACGAUCUUGAUGUAUCACGGGCUUUGCUAAUAUAGUUGGAUCAUAUGGUGUAUCUCCCUCUCUAUCUUGUUGUGAUGAAUUGAGUUUUCCCUUUGAGAUUUUGUUCUUAUCAGAUUGAAUACUUUUAUGGAUUUGAGAGCACUUGAUAUAUGUCUUGCAUAUGAAUACCUAUGGUGACAAUGGGGUAUUAUAUUGAUUCACUUGAGAUAUGUUUUGGCACCCAACUCGUGGAUUCCCGAGGUGACUUUGGGGUAAUCUAUGCAUAGGGGUUGAUGCAUGUUCUCGUCUUUUGUUUCUCCGGUAGAAAUCUUGGGGCACUCUUUGAGGUUCUUUGUGUUGGAUUGAGUAUUAUGAAUCUGAAUUUGCUUUGGUGUUAUUUCAAUAAAAACUCUUGAUAGAUCCAUCGGAAAGAAUAACUUGGUGUUAUUUUAUUACGAACUCUUGGAUAGAUCGAUUGGAAAGAAUGGCUACAAACAAUUUCUUCCUAUGUUCUCCGCUAGAUAAGAACUUUGGAGUGAUUCUUCAUCGCACGUUGAGGGAUGGUUAUGUGAUCCAAUUAUAUUAGCCUUGUUGAGAGAUUGCACUAGCGAAAGUACAGACCCUGGGCCUCAUUUUCAAGCAUUGCAAUACCGUUUGUGCUCACUUUUGUUACUUGCUACCUUGCUGUUUUUUAUUGUUCCUAUUACAAAAACCAAUAUCUACCAUCAUUACUACACUUUUAUCACCAUCUCUUCGCUGAACUAGUGCACCUAUACAAUUUACCAUUUGUAUUUGGUGUGCUGGGGACACAAGAGACUUUUUAUUAUUUGGUUGCGGGGUUGUUUGAGAGAGACUAUCUUCAUCCUACGCCUCUCACGGAUUGAUAAACCUUAGGUCAUCCACUUGAGUGAAAAUUGCUACUGUCCUACAAAAUUAUGUGCUUGGAGGCCCAAUACGUGUCUAUAAGAAUAAAAUUGUGUAGUAGACAUCAGUAUCCUUGUCCGCAAAACAAAGGUAACCACCGAGAGUGAAUUGCAAGAUGAAAACAUGGCAGUAUAUAUGAUUAGCACGUAUACACGCUAAUCCAUUACACAUGUAUUAAGGUCCCACCAUUUGAACUUUGGUGUCCAACUCAAUUGCCUGCGAUACAUUUUUUUUGCAACCAUCCCAUUGAAAAAAUAGCGCUCUAUAGAGCCGCUAAUAACACGUUAUAGCGCGCUAAUAACACACUAUUUUAGAGAGAAUUGUCUUGCUAAAUUGAUAAGUGUACAAUAUCUUGCUAAUAGCAUGCUAUAGCGCGCUAAUAGCUAUUGGGUUCUACGGUAGGGUGCGUCGACUGCAAAUUAAAUUUUCCUACGCGCAGAACAUCCAAGAACAUGCUAUGGGAGAUGGAUCACAGUUCGUUACCACUAGACGCGCAGUGCCGUGCAGCGGAAGUAGAGUUGAGCCAGCGCGUCCACGUGGUUCGUCUCCUCCUCGUCCGAUCUCCCUCGAACAGCCGGUCAUCGGAUCCCACGUAUAAGUUCGCCGGAGCAGCGCAGGUGCACCGCCUGUAACGGUAUCUGCGCGUGCAGGAGGAACACCGUGCGGCAGACUGCUAGGUCCGAUCACACAAUCGGCGGCGAGUGGAGGUGUCUAUUCGCAACACAUGCAAACCCUAGUGACAGUGCCAAAGCGAUCAACCGCAUGAGUGUGCCGCACCUCCACUUUAUAUAGGCGUCCGUCGCGGGCCCAACACUUGGGCCUCACACGGACCCUAAAGCCCAUAAGUCUACUCGAUCACAAUCCGAAUACAGCUCGGAUCACAUCCGACCAGUGUCCUCGGAUCCGACCUCGUAGGUUCCUUCCCUUAAGCGCGCGAUCCCUUAGGUUCAAGUCGGCUUGGUCGCAGUUUGGAUCACCUCCGAACUGCACGGUUGGUAGCGGCCUCUAGCAAGGCAUGCCGAACACCAAGCAGACUAUGAAGCUGGUUAGGCGAACCUGUACAUCACACUUCCAUUCCUUUUGCCACACGAUAUAUGUUGUCGGGCUCAAGGCGAGUCUGUCAUCCUUGUGCUAGCCCGACCUCUUUCUCGUUUCAGUGAUGCCGACCACAAACCGGAUUAUCUCAUAAUCCUAAUCGCAUGGCCAUGCUUAUCAUGGUCGGAUCACACGAGGGGCCCAGAGUAUAUCUCUCCUGAUCGGAGGGGCGAAUCCCAUCUUGCUCGACCACGUCUCGCCGCAUGGGUCUGGACAAGCCCGAAACCUACCUUUGUAACUACCCAGUCUCGGAGUAGCGUUUGGUCGGCCCAAAGCAAGUCUGUCACCAUCCCAAGUACAUGUGCCAGCUCAAGUCUUAGGACAUAGAACAUAUGUUGUGCUAGAGACUCACAGAUGACAUAUCACUGCGUCUCUUAGUUGGGUGUGUCCAACUCGGACCUUAUCUCGACUCGGAUCCGACUACGUCGAAUCCGACCAGAUCCUUCCAAGUCCAUAUUAUCCGGUUAGCAUCCAAUGCUCCAUGGCUAGUGAGACCAAGCCAUCGACCGUGUCAUAUGCUAGUCCAGUUGGAUGUGCAUCCACACAGCCCUUUCGACUAGGGACCUUUUAGGACAGUCAUCAUACAAUGCAUAGUCCCAAAAACAAGUCACGUACUUGCUGAUACACAUCAUUGAUAAUGUCCAAGGACUAUCUUUAUUCAUAAACACAUAGGAAAUAUCAUCAUACAUGAUUGCCUCUAGGGCAUAUCUCCAACAGUCUCCCACUUGAACUAGAGUCAAUCAAAUAGACAUCAAAUGCCCAUAGCUCUAACGUGCCCCUCAUGCUUGGGUUGUGGAAGCGGCUUAGUCAACGGAUCUGCAACAUUUGCAUCCGUGUGAAUUUUGCAUAACUCUACAUCACCAUUCUUUACGAUCUUUCGUAUCAGGUGAUAUUUCCGAUCUAUGUGUCUGACCUUGUGGUGAUUCCUUGGCUCCUUGGCUUGUGCGAUGGCACCAGAAUUAUCACAAUAAAGGUCCAACGGUUUUACCGAGGCUGGGAAAAUACCAAGAUCAUCCAGAAAGUUCCGGAUCCAAACACCUUCCUUUGCAGCUUCACAAGCCGCAAUGUAUUAGGCUUCUGUGGUAGAAUCGGCCACCGUAUCUUGCUGGGAACUCAUCCAGCUCACUGCUCCUCCGUUCAUGACGUACACGAAUCCGGACUGUGAUCGACAAUCAUCUCUGUCGGUUUGGAAGCUAGCAUCGGCGUAACCCCUUACGACGAGCUCUUCCUCACCUCCAUAAACUAGGAACAUCUCUUUAGUCCUUUUCAGGUACUUCAAAAUAGUUUUUACCGCUGCCUAGUGACUCUCACCUGGGUUGGCCUGGUAUCUGCUUGUUAGGCUUAUUGCAAAAGCAACAUCAGGCCUUGUACAUAUCAUGGCAUACAUGAUGGAUCCGAUUGCCGAGGCAUACGGAAUCCUACUCAUCCUGCUUCGCUCAUCAGAUGUCGAAGGACUCUGAGUCUCGCUUAGCCUUAUACCAUGUGAGAGUGGCAAGAACCCUUUCUUCGCCCCACUCAUGUUGAACUGCUUCAGCACUUUAUCUAUGUACGUGCUCUGGCUUAAGCCGAGCAGCCUCCUCGAUCUAUCUCUAUAGAUCUUAAUGGCUAAAAUGUACAUUGCCUCACCAAGGUCUUUCAUCGAAAACUGGCCAUUCAAUGACUCCUUGACCGAGUUCAGCAUCGAAACAUCAUUUCCGAUCAGUAGUAUGUCAUCCACAUACAAGAUCAAAAACACUAUUGAGCUCCCACUUAACUUCUUGUAUAAAUAAGAGUCCUCUUUGCUUUUGAUGAAGCCGAAACCAGUGACGACCUCAUCAAAACGAAUGUUCCAGCUCCGAGAUGCUUGCCUCAGCCCAUAAAUGGAUCUCUUGAGCUUGCAUACCUUACUAGUGCUAGUCGGAUCGACAAAACCCUCGGGUUGUAUCAUAUACACAUCCUCGGUUAAAUUUCCGUGAAGGAAAGCCGUCUUGACAUCCAUCUGCCAUAUCUCGUAAUCGAAAUAUGCAGCUAUAGCUAGUACGAUCCUCACCGACUUCAGCAUCGCUACCGGCGAGUAAGUCUCGUCGUAGUCAAUUCCUUGAACUUGUCCAUAACCCUUAGCAACAAGCCGAGCUUUGUGGAUCUGAACAUUUCCAUCCACAUCGGUUUUCUUCUUAAAGACCCAUUUGCAACCAAUGGCUGUUACGCCAGGCGGCAGAUCAACCAAGUCCCAAACUUGAUUCUCAUCCAUGGACUUUAACUUAGAUCUCAUGGCCUCUAGCCAUGCCUCGGAAUCUGGGCUCACCAUCGCUUCCGCAUAUGUAGCCGGUUCGUCGCUUUCUAGCAACAAUACAUCACACACUCUGCGCAAUCUCUCCGACCUCCGUGGUUCCGGUGCCGCUUCCACUACGGGUUCCCUGACUGACUCCGGUAUGAUCUCAUCACCAGCCGAGCCGUCCCCGAGUGGUCCUUGAAUUUCUUCGAGUCGGACUGUCCUCCCACUGGCCUCCCGACUGAGAAACUCUUUCUCAAGGAAUACCCCGUUCCGAGCAACAAACACUUUGUUCUCUUCCCGGUUGUAGAAGCUAUAUCCCAAGGUUUCCCUCGGAUAUCCCACGAAUAUGCAUUUAUCUGACUUGGGUGUAAGCUUCUCUGACAUAAGUCGCUUGACAAAUGCUUCACAACCCCAAAUCUUUAGAAAAGACAAACUUGGACUCUUCCCGGUCCACAUCUCAUGUGGUGUCUUGUCUACGGAUUUUGAUGGUACCCUGUUAAGUGUGAAAGCUGCAGUUUCUAGAGUGUAUCCCCAGAAUGACAAGGGUAAAUCCGAUUUGCUCAUCAUAGACCGUACCAUGUCCAACAAGGUCCUAUUCCUCCGUUCCGACACGCCGUUUCUCUGUGGCGUACCCGGAGGUGUGAGCUGAGGUACUAUACCUCGGCUUUUCAGAUGAUCAUCAAACUCCUGGCUCAUGUACUCACCUCCACGAUCUGAUCGUAGAAGCUUUAUAGUCUUGCCGAGUUGAUUCUCAACCUCGUUCUGAAACUCUUUGAACUUUUCAAAAGUUUCCGACUUGUGCCUCAUCAAAUAGAUAUAUCCAUAUCUACUCAAGUCGUCGGUAAAAGUCAUGAAGUACUGAUAUCCACCUCUGCCAGUUGUGCUCAUUGGACCACACACAUCACUAUGUAUAAGUUCCAAUAGCUCGGACACCCUCUCGCAACUCUUUGCGAAAGGAGACUUAGUCAUCUUGCCGAGCAAGCAUGAUUCACAUGUCUCGAACGACCCAAAGUCGGACGAAGUUAGGAGCCCAUCAUCAUGGAGCUUCUUCAUGCGUUUCAGACUAAUGUGUCCAAGCCGGCAAUGCUAGAAGUAUGUCGGAUUUAUCUCAUUACGCUUAUGCCUCUUGACAUUCACGUUAUAGACCGGUUCCUGUUCCAGAUUCAAUAUAAAUAGCCCAUCUACAAUGGGUGCAUAGCCGUGGAACAUACCAUUCAAAUAAAACGAACAACCAUUGUCCUUUAAAUUGAACUCAUAACCCCGACUCAUCAAACAUGAGGCAGAAAUAAUGUUCCGACUAAGUGCAGGAAUGUAAUAACAGUUAUUCAAUUCCAAAAUAAAUCCAGAAGGAAGUUGGAGCUGCAUCGUGCCGACCUCCAACACAGCAACUCUUGCUUUGUUGCCGACCCCGAUGUCAAUCUCCCCUUGUGCCACACGCCUAGUUCUUACCAGCCCCUGCGUCGAGUUGCAAAUAUGAACAACUAAUCCGGUAUCAAAUACCCAAGAGCUACUAGGUAUGUCAGCAAGGUAAAUGUCUAUAACAUAUGCAACAAGUGUACCUUUGCCUGAAGCAGCAUUCCCGGCCUUCUUGCCAUGCUCUACAAGCCACUUGAUAUAGUUCCUCUUCCAGUGACCGGUCUCCUUGCAAUGAAAGCAAAUGGUCUUCGAGUCCGGUCCUGACUUUGGCGGAGCGGCGGAGGUUACCGUCUCCAUGCCCUUUGCCUUAGCCUUCUUCUUGGACCAACUCUUCUAGAACUUAGCCGAUUUCUGCACCAUCAACACUUGAUGCAUGCCUUUCUUAAUAUCCUGCUCUGCCACCUUAAGCAUCCCAUGCAAUUCAGUGAGCUUCUUGUCCAUGCCAUGCAUAUGAUAGUUCGAGAUGAACGUCCCAUAGUUGGGCGGAAGAGAACCCAGAACUGCAUCAGUAGCCUGCUCAUCCAAGAGCGGGAAGCCCAGCCGAUCCAAAGCUUGCACAUAUCCGAUCAUCUUGAUCACAUGUGGGCUCAGUGGAUCACCUUCCUUCAGCUUGCAAUCCAUCAAGGAUCGCCAGACGUUGAACCUUUCGGUUUUAGCCUGUGUCUGAAACAUGCUCUUGAGACUCUCGAUCAUAUCGUAAGCCUCAACAUUUUUGAAAUGCUGUUGCAAAUCGGGCUCCAUACAAGCCAGCAUCAGACAGCUGAUCUCCGUUGAUUCAUCAAUGAGUUUCUGGUAGGCAUUCUUAGUUGUGUCACUAGCAUUAUCGACAGGUUCCUCUGGAAGUGGAUCCUCUAGAACAUGUUCCUUUUUAUCAUGCUUGAGAACAAUUCUCAAAUUUCUAUACCAGGUGGUAAAGUUUGUUCCAUUCAGUUUAUCCUUUUCCAGAAUUGAUUUCAAUGCAAAGUUGGGUUGAGCAGGUGGUGCCAUUGAUCUACAACAGAAAAUAUGCAAUCACUAAGCAAUGUGUUUAUGUAGAGUAAUUCUAGCCUUAAACGAUAAUACUCCCACUGAAGUUGGCAUCCCUCCGCAAACUCUCAGUGAUUCAGGAUCCGACUAGCACAUGCGACUAGUGAGCUUUAGCAUCACUGCUAGACAACAGGCCUAUCAGGUAAGCAACUCCUUGCUAAUCGUAUCUCUAUACAAUUCCUGUCGGUCGGGAUGGUAUCUCAUACCCCGGCUCCCAACCUUCUUUGCCACAAGGCCCAAAACCGUUUUGAUAGCCUUGUCAAGUUAACCUGAUGCAGUGCAUGUCCGUGUCCGACACGAACCCUUCAGUUCAAGGACACCCAGCGGCACCUCAAUUUUAUGAGCCCACUACUAGACGUACUUGACGUGCGAAGGUGCAACAUCAGGGAUGGCAAUUCGCUUGAUAUUCAUGAGGGAUCUUUCUACCAUUCUAACAUGCAUAGAAAACAAGAAGCAUAACAAUCACAAAUAAACAUAUAUCGUGAAAUAGUAUGGCUCCUUUAUGGACGUUCUUCCAGGUCGGCUCCGACUCCGAUGACCAUCUAGGAACUCCAUCUUGUUUGUCACACCGGGACACCAAGCCACCAACCUGAUCUCUAUUAUCCAACUACUACAACUAGUAAUGAAUUUUACAUAGAGUCACAAGUCGACACGCAGGUCGUUACACAAUAUAAGGACAACACUUUGGCUCCUGCCGGCUGACAAACAUGACACGCAGGCCAUGUAUAAUUUACACACAUGCAUCACAUACACAUGAGCCAUACUAUUCACAUCAAACCCUACAAAAUAAAGUUAUGCAUAGAAUCGCAUUCCACCGGUUUGAGUGAUCGUGUAUGAAAUAUAAGGCGCUACACACACGGCGGUCCCGAUCACGCCGAAUUUUCCGAUCUGACCGAUCUCAUCGAUCAUCGCGAAUCCGAUUCGGAUUUAUGUUUCACUGUUAACCCCGAUGGCAGAUAACCGACCGGUAGGGGUAGGUUGUGUCACGACCUCAUCGAUCCCGAUUGACAGAAAACAUAGCCUCAUCGAUCCCCAUGUGCAGUUGAUCUCAUCAACCGUGCACACAGCCGAUCUCAUCAACGACAACGGAUCUCAUUUGCCGCCUCCACAUAUCUAAUAUGCAUACGAUCUGAAUCCCAAUCCUAUAGCAGAGGCUCUGAUACCACUGUUGGGCUCUAUGGUAGGGUGCGUCGACUACAAAUUAAAUUUUCCUACGCGCACAACAUCUAGGAACAUGCUAUGGGAGAUGGAUCACAGUUCGUUACCACUAGACGCGCAGUGCCGUGCAACGGAAGUAGAGUUGAGGCAGCGCGUCCGCGUGGUUCGUCUCCUCCUUGUCCGAUCUCCCUUGAACAGCCGGUCGUCGGAUCCCACGUACAAGUUCGCCGGAGCGGCGCAGGUGCACCGCCUCUAACGGUAUCCGCGCGUGCAGGAGGAACACCAUGCGGCGGACUGCUAGGUCCGAUCACACAGUCGGCGACGAGUGGAGGUGUCUAUUCACAACACAUGCAAACCCUAGUGACAGCGCCAAAGUGAUCAACCGCAUGAGUGUGCCGCACCUCCACUUUAUAUAGGCGUCCGUCGCGGGCUCAACACUUGGGCCUCGCACAGACCCUAAAGCCCAUAAGUCUACUCGGCAACAAUCCGAAUACAGCUCGGAUCACAUCCGACCAGUGUCCUCGGAUCCGACCUCGUAGGUUCCUUCCCUUAAGCGUGCGACCCCUUAGGUUCAAGUCGGCUUGGUCGCAGUUCGGAUCACCUCCGAACUGCACGGUUGGUAGCGGCCUCUAGCAAGGCAUGUCGAACACCAAGCAGACUAUGAAGCUGGUUAGGCGAACCUGUACAUCACACAUCCAUUCCUUUUGCCACACGAUAUAUGUUGUCGGGCUCAAGGCGAGUCUGUCCCUUGUGCUAGCUCGACCUCUUUCUCGUUUCAGUGAUGCCGACCACAAACCGGAUUAUCUCAUAAUCCUAAUCGCAUGGCCUUGCUUAUCCUGGUCGGAUCACACGAGGGGCCCAGAGUAUAUCUCUCCUGAUCGGAGGGGCAAAUCCCAUCUUGCUCGACCACGUCUCGCAGCAUGGGUCUGGACAAGCCCGAAACCUACCUUUGUAACUACCCAGUCACAGAGUAGCGUUUGGUCGGCCCAAAGCAUGUCUGUCACCAUCCCGAGUACAUGUGCCAGCUCAAGUCUUAGGACAUAGAACAUAUGUUGUACUAGAGACUCACAGAUGACAUAUCGCUGCGUCUCAUAGUUGGGUCUGUCCGACUCGGACCUUAUCUCGACUCGGAUCCGACUACGUCGGAUCCGACUAGAUCCUUCCAAGUCCAUAUUAUCCGAUUAGCAUCCAAUGCUCCAUGGCUAGUGAGACCAAGCCAUCGACCGUGUCAUAUGCUAGUCUAGUUGGCUGUGUGUCCACACAGCCCUUUUGACUAGGGACCUUUUAGGACAGUCAUCAUACAAUGCAUAGUCCCACAAACAAGUCACAUACUUACUGAUACACAUCAUUGAUAAUGUCCAAGGACAAUCUUUAUUCAUAAACACAUAGGAAAUAUCAUCAUACAUGAUUGCCUCUAGGGCAUAUCUCCAACAGUAUAUUUUCAAAGACGGUUCUAUUUUGUAUACCGCGCUAUUUUUUUCCUUUCCAUCCCAGAAAGAAGUAAAUAAUAAAUUACCACAAACAGAAACAAGAUAAUAGGACUAAAACCAAAUAGAAUGUGUUGCCAAAAGAAAAAAGAAAUCUAUUACGAGUAGCAUAUAUAAGAAUCAAGAAGAGUUCUUACAUGGAUCUCUAACUUCUCAAUAAAGGAGUUGUCCUAAGAAUGGAAACCACAUUUGGAAGCUUGUCGGUAUCUUCAACUGUUAUACCCAUUAACAACUAUAAGCACUUAAGAUGGGGAAACAAGCAUGUGCUAUUCAACACUAAUGGCAUCUGCAAGACAAAAGAACAAAGUUGAUUGCCUAGAUGAUAUUACUUAAAUUUAAUUGUAACCUCAAGGGCAUUGCAGGAGCAAACCUCUAGCCGCGGGUUAAAAGUCUGUAGCAUCAGAUUUUCUAUGCUCGAAAUACCAUUGAGAAGUGCACCGACAACGUCUUGAAAAUUUAUCAUGGCGAAACAUAUAUCUGCAUUUUCCAGCUCCGAGUCUUGAUUUAUAACAAUAGGAAGAAUGGGUCCAUCAUAUUGAAAGGUAUCCAAUUUCAAAACUCUAAGUUCUAUCCUGGUCACCCUACAAAGUAUAAGUGUUAGGUGUCGCAGGUGGGACAAUGGACGAUCCGACUUUAAUUCGCUAUCCAGGAAGCAUCUGACUAAGCUUAGCCGUUUAAGAUAACAACAAUUGGAGAAUAUGACCUGAAGAUCUUUUCUAGUGAUAUCCACGAAUUCCAGGUCAAGCUUUCUUAGGCUUGGGAAACCAUUGAAUUUAAAUGGUGGUCUGAAGGAUACAAAGCUAAGUUGAAUACAUUCUAGACGUGAUUUGCUUUCAGUAUCCAAAAGGUGAAAUGGAAAUAUGUAACGAAAGAUAUCUCAAACUGCCUUGUUAACCGGCCAUAAGUAGAUAGCAAUGCUCUUUGUCUGUGACGACACAACAAAAUCAACACAUUUAUUGAGAUGAGUAGCCAGCAUGAUGUCAAAUUCGAAUUUGACAUGGAAUUCUUCGACCACCGUCCCAUGGAAAUUUCUCAAGACUGCAUUGACAUCAUUGAUGAGCUUGUGCAUGUAUUCAUAACAUUCUUUUCUUGAAAAGCUAUCACGGCAACACCCAGCAGCACCAGUGAAACAUAAUUUGUGGCAAGAAAUAUCGCGGAUAGGUCUCCAGUGACUUGACAAAACACUGGCCCUUGAAAUCUCUUUAGGAGGCAACGUUGACAAAAUUAUGCACAUCACAUCCUGCGUUAACGGAAUAUAGAUGCUCAAGAUUACAAGUUAUAGUUGUACUCGACUGUAUAUCAGAAAAAGGAAAAUUUGGCACACAUUUGAAAGGUCUUCCAAUUUAAUGUGUGACCUCGACUUCUUAUAGAUUGAAUUCCCAUGGGUAUGGUCUGAUGAUGUUGCUUUGCACAUUUGAUGCCUCCCCAUUUGUAAAACCGAAUAUGAGAAGUCAGAGUUCCUCCAAGAUUAUAUGGUAUUAACUAGUGGAUAUUCACAAGUGUAUUAACUAGUAGUAGUAGGCAUUACCGUGGAUAAUUCGAGGAACUAGUAGUUUGUCGUCGGUGCCAGCGGUUCGGUGCUUGGGGGGUCCGAUUGUUUUUUUUUAAGAAAACCCGCCCACUUUAUUGAUUCAUCUCAAUGAUCAUAGGUACAAGGUUUUGUUCAUGGGGUAGUCCCAACCAAAUGUGUCGGCCAGGCCCAAGAUUACAAUCAAACUUGGCGAGAUUAUGAGCUUUUAAAUUAAACAAACUACGCUCAUGACUAAAACAGCAAAAAGCAAAAGUAUUUCUAGUGAAAUUAAUCUCCUUUAUUAUGGCGCCGUGUUCUCCACCAGAUUCUUUUUUUUAGCACUGUUCUCCACCAGAUUCAUUCCCAAUAUCUUUGAUCACCCCCUCACAAUCAGAAAGAAGCAAUGUUGGCUUUUAACAGGACGUCGAGACCAUUUGAUUCGUCCAGGAGGAGGAAUUGGACUCGGAUUCCUGGGCCCGAUUUUAGAGAGGAAGGAAGCGCGUUCCGCUUCCCGGCCCAACCCUCUUUCCUUCCGCUUCCCGGCCCAACCCUCCAUACAAAUGCAAAACCCUAAUAAGAAACCCUAAGAAACCCUUCUCCCCCGCCACCGGCCACCACCCCGACCAACGGAGGCAGCGAUGGGAUGCACGGCGUCCACGCGACGUGCGGGGUGGGGCUCGCUCGUGUUCGAUGUCUCAGGGUACGGCGGAGUUAGCCUCGACGUACAAUCAUCAGAAGUAUUCACCGUCGGCGCUUACGACUGGCAGAUUCGUUUCUAUGAGGAAGGAGUGUUUGGGCAUUCCGGAGGCUAUGUGGCGGUCUAUCUCUUUUUAGUCAGCAAGAAGGCCAAGGUGAGGGCAACAUUCGAGCUCAGUUUGGUGGACAUCACUGGAUCAACGCCGCCUCGUACGAUGAGGACGGUCGACGCAGAAUUUGACUCUGGCGACCGAACGUGCUUCGGCCAUCCCGAGUUCAUGAGGAAGAGCGAGCUCGAGGCGUCGCCUUACCUUCGCGGCGAUCGCCUCACAAUUGAGUGUGCCAUCACUAUCUGCAAGGAAGCGCCGGUCUCGUCGAAAUCGUUUGCUGAGGUGCCGCCAUCCGACAUCACGGAUCACCUCAGGAAGCUGUGGCAAGGGAAAGAGGGCAGCGAUGUCACCUUCGAGGUUCAAGGGGAGGCUUUUCCUGCCCACAAGACGGUGCUCGCGAUGCGGUCGCCGGUGUUUAAGGCAGAGCUGUACGGUGCCUUGAGGGAAAAUGAUAUGGGUCGCGUUAUCAUUGGCGACAUGCAACCUGCAGUCUUCGAGGCCCUGCUCCAUUUUAUAUACACCGAUUCAUUGCCCACCAUGGAUGAUCUUUACCAAGAUCAAGAUGAAUACAAAGAGAUUAUUGGACAUUUGCUUGUAGCCGCGGAUCGGUAUGCCAUGGAAAGACUGAAGAUCAUAUGUGAAAGCAUCCUUUGCAAGAACAUAGAUGUGAAGACCGUGGUGACUACACUGGCUUUGGCUGAUCAGCAUCACUGCAACAAGUUGACUGAUGCUUGCAUUGAAUUUAUUGCCUCUUUGGGUAAAGUGGAUGAUAUAAUAGCAAGCCAGGGAUAUGCUGAGCUCAAAAGAACCUGUCCUUUGGCUUUACUGGAACUGUGGGAGAAGGCAACUAGGCUCUACAUGAUAUAGUCUUCAUUUCACAUUGGCAUGCGUGUUAAGUCGCAUACAUAUCUUGCUACUUGUUUGAUGAAGGAUUAGUUUAUUUUAAUAUAUAUGGAGCUUCGGUGAAAAACAGUACUACUCUGCUAAUGUUUUUCAUUUGCCAAGAUGUUGCAUACUUAUCCUUUUAGCGCAAAUGGUAUUGUUGCUAAACAAUAUAUAUGAGUGUUUAAUUGUUUGUUAAAAAUUAAGUCAUAGGUUUUAAUUACCACACUACAUGUGCAGGCUAGUGUAUGCUACUCAGUUCGAUGGUGAUAUCUGCCGUAACGAAUAAGCAGCAAAAUGCGACAAGAGUGGGCCAGGAGUGUGUUAAUGUGAUUAUAAGGGAACAUUUCAUCAAAAUAUGAAAUUCGAAACGGGAGAACGAAUGCCACAUUUUCGAACUCUUGAGUGUUGUAAAACAAUGGGGGUGCAUUUGAAACAAUAAUUCUUGCACUGGAAGGUGUUCAAUUUCUAUUGUCAGGUACUUUUCUGUUCUUGCAUCCUCCAAUUGGUUUCAGUUUUUAUUUUACUUACCUGAAAAGUUGAGACUGAAUCCAUAAGCAGUUGACCCAUCGGUAUGCUUUUAAUCUUUUACAAAUAUAAAAUGAAUUAAGUAAUCAAUCUAACCUAUGGAAUGAUUGAGUACCAUCACAUCAUCCAACUAUACUGUUAUAUAAACAUCAUCGGUACAUCACAGUAUUGGGCAAUUGGCCUAUAUUGCUAUUACUUUGAAUGAAACACAUUUGUACUAUAUGACAGUAACUAAUUGGAAGAGUGCAGUAUGUUAAUGCACCUGCAUAUCCUUAAGAAUAAAAUAUCCAAUAAAAGUUGACAUUUGAAAGUACCCCUUGUGUUGUAAAGUAAUCAUUUUGAUACAGAAGGAACGUAAUAAUGAAGGCAAGCAUGUAAAAAACUGGGGAAAGUAUUGUUCGUAACAGGUUAUAUGCAGCCCUACCGUCUACAGGAACGCAUCAAAGCAAACUUCGGAAAUUGGUGCAUGUCAGGCAAGUCAGGAUUUAGUUGUUAUUUACAGAGGUGAUUUCUGUUCCCUUUAAUUUGUAGAAAUUUGGGGCAGGGAAGCAACGGAAUAUUUUUUUCAAAAGUAUUCUCAAGCUGAUUUGUAUGUGACGAGAUUAUUAAUCAGUUUGAUCGAGAUAUUUUUUGUAUUUGACGCAGUAUGUAUGUACCAAGCAGGAUUGCAAGUCAAUCUCACCUUAGGAUAUUAUUCAUACCUAUUAGCAAGUCUACAUGGAUCAUUUAAUGUUGCAAUUGUGUGCUGACCCGAAACCCUAGAAAUAGUUCAACCAUUUUCCUCAAAGGCGUAUUAUUACAUCUAAGGCAAAAUCAAUUGAUUAGUUUUACUAUUUCUAACGUUUCUAAGUAGUGUUGAACCAUCUCCACAGGAGCUUGACAAUUUAGUGCUACUAGCCAUGUUUCACAGUACUAACACAAGGGUUAAUGCAGAAGUCUUUUAUAUAAUUAUUGACCUUGAGGAACACAUAGCAUUUGUUGCGAGAUGGAACAAUAAGUGUAGCUUAUAGUGACAUCAAAGAUUGCAGCUGUAUUUCACAAUAUUUUGAUGCUCAGAAAAUCUUCUUGCUUUUGAUAGUUCUGUAAGACCGCACGAUACAGUGGUUCUCUUAGGUGUAUAUGAAAUUAGUUCAGUUAAAAUUAGGGGUCUAUGAUUUUUCACCACGUUUUCCAGCCAUUAGAUAUAAAUGUUUUAUUUAAGUCUAUUGAAAGUUACUAAUGACAUCUGGAAGUCUGCACCUCCCUCUUUUUUCAGACCUAAGUUGUUUCUCCGAAAGUCCAGCAUAAUACUCUGAAAAGAAGGUCAGGUUUUCUCCCUUUAGUCAAGUUACUCUGACCUGGUUUAAUUUUAAAAUAGUAGAUAUAUUCCUUCCUAAUUUAGUCAAGUUACCCUGCUAAUCUACCAGGCAGUUCCAUGUUUACACUUGUUGCGUAAAUAUUCUUCUCUUUAUUUGACCAGAUGUUCACUGAACUAUGGUCGGUCAUUGGUUAUUUGUUUGUUUGUGUGCAGUUUGCUUUUUUAAACCCAAUAUUUAAACAUGAAACUAAAAUAUUAAGUUUAUCUGAAUAACAUUUGGUCACUGAACUAUUCCUCGUUCACUAUAAUUUUGUCAAAGUUUUAUGUACCUGAUUUAGGUUUUAAAAAAAUGUUCAUAAAAUUAUCAUACAACUUGAGAGAAACCUAUCUUAGUUUUGGUUAUUACGAGGAGACAGAAAAGAGAUGACAUAGGCCUAUAGCUGAGAGGAGAGAGAAAUUAUGUGAUUUGGCACAGCAGACUAGCACAAAGGCCCCAGAAGGGGGUUGUAAAGUGAACGGUUCUCAGAGUUCACAUGGUUAAAUGAACCAAAUCAAAGUCCAAGAUUGUAAUCUGAACCCUAAAACGAUUUAAUGGGGUGAUAUGGACUUCUCGACUACUAGAGAAUGUGCCUUCAACUUGCAGGGUCAAUGGACAUGCACCUUUGAUUUAACAUUUGAGAUUUUAAAUGCUCUCUGAAUUAGGGCAAGCAAACAAACAUUCUCUUAAAAUUGUCGUUUAUGUGCUUGUUCUAUUAAUUUUCUUUUAGUGAUUCACAUUUGAGACUUUUUUUCUUAAAUUGAAGAAUUUAUAAGCUCUAAAUAUAAAGUAAUGUGUAUAAAUCACAGGGAAAUGAAUUGAAAAAUGUAGAACUACAUACUCCCUCCGUAAAGAAAUAUAAGACCAUUUAGAUCACUUCCUAAAAGGUACUCUCUCUGUAAAAAAAUAUAAGACCGUUUAGAUCAGUUUUCACUCCAAAAAGCUGGAAAAAAGAGCAAAUCUCGGAUAGCACAAAAGCCAAGGUGACCCAGAACAAUUAUUUCACUUAUUUCUAGUUUAAGAAGGACCUUGUGCGCGGUUCACGACUCCCGGUGCUUAGAGAUGCGGUUCACUACAGCAGCGGUAAGAAAAACAAGAAAACAGGUAUCAAGAGAUGGAAGUGAAAGAAGAACUGUUGAUCGACCGGUGGUUUGGGUCUUGCCUUUUAGGAUUCGGCUCCCUGGUAAUGAACUGAAAAAGAGACUGUCACCGCUGAGAACGAGACGACACAGGUUGUGGUUCUUCUCCGGCAUACGCUAGCUGCUGGAACCCACUGAGUUCAAGUCCGAAAAGGAUUGGACUCUGCGACAUUGACCGACGCGACGCUAUACCGGAAAGACUAAAGAAAGGUAUGUAGGAUAUGACACUUGAAUGGAUAUGGAUGGCGAAAGACUUAACUAUGAGUUUUGUAGAAGCAAUAAGUGUUGCACUGCAAGUAUUCAAUACCUGAACAAGGCAUACGAAGUAGGUUUUUUUUUUCACUUUGGCGAAAUGCAUCUCCAGACAUGACCAUCUCAUCAUUUACUUUCAGCGAUGAUUCGAUCACUAAAAUGACAUCGUCCCCGUCAUCAUUAUUCCGGUGGAUGGUGAAUCGAUCCAUGGCCUCAAAGCACCAUGGGUUUCUAGCAACAAUCACAAAGACCACACAAGAUAACAUCCCACUUUUAUUAAUUAUUAGGACGUUUGUAAAAGCAUUAAUUUGCAUCUUAUUAUUUAAAUGCGUAUUUGGAUUUUCUAGAACAUUUAAAUUUAAACUAUUUUCAACUCAAGGAAAUAAAAGAGAGAAGAUAAUAUUACUUAUAUUCCUUAUGAAAAGAGUGAGAAAAUGUUAAGAUGUCAUUUGGAGUGGAUAAAUCCAAUCUUUGGAAUUAAAUAAACCCUACAAAUAUUUAAGGGAAUUAUUAUUAGGUCCAAACUAGCUGUAUAAAAUAAAAUGAAUUUACAAAAUUGCACUUCGAGUUGGGAAUAAUUUUUCUAGGCUCUAUAUGAGUAUUUUGUUUUUUGCAAUUUUCUGGUAUUUUCUGAAAAAUAUAUAUUUUAGACUAUUAUUUGAGCCAAAAUCAAUUUGUAGACUAAUUUUAUUAUGAAAUCCUAUCCUAACUAGACCAGAACAAUGUUUCAGCCCAGUAACACACACCGCGACUAUUUUAGGCCCCCGGCCUAGUUCCUUUGUCAAAACGAUAUGGGCAUCGAGGGCCGUUAGUUUUAUGAUCAUCUCUUUCUCUCUUUUCUUGCCUCACUGCUCUGCAUCGUUUUGCCAUACUGUCUUUGCUCAUGGAGCACCACAUCGUCUGAACAAUGCACACCCGACCACACCAGAGCACCGCCGAGCACUCCACACCCGUCCAGACCACCGACCACCACCGACCACACCGCUGUGAUGACUGCGACAAGUUUAACCCUGACGUGUACUUCCUUGACACUGACGACCAUCGGAGACCAUGCCACAUUUGACCCGAGUCGUCGUGCCACUGUCUUCUCCGUGGCCGCCGCUGUUCACUGCCGCCCCAUCUCGUUCUCGUUCGUCUGUUUAGAAAUAGAUUGUGUAUUUUAGAAUUUAUUUCUUCCGAAUUGUUGUUUGAACUUGGCCCUAGAUCUGCAUUUAAAUCCAACGGUUGUUAUUCUGUUUGAGCCUGAAUCGGUGUCUUUUGAUUUGGUUUGUCCGUUUUCAUUUAAAUAGGACGACUAUAUUUUAUUUAGCCAUGAAUCGGUAUCAACUAGUCUGAUGCUGCCACGUGCCACACUAUUUUGCAGAAAAUCCCACGAAACUUCUAACGUUCUAACUUUUCAAGCGUAGCUCCAAAGAAGACGAACAUUUUGCAAAUUGUUAGUCUUGGAGUGCUUAUGACCUAUCAGUUUAACAUUUUUAAUUAUUCAAAUGUGAUCAAUUCAAAUUCAAAUUUAAAUAUUAUUUUAGCCAUAUCUUGCAAUCUGGAGAUCACCAAUAUGGUUGUUUCUUUUUGCAUGAUGAAAGCCUGAUCAAAUCCUAUGUACUAAGCCGUUAAUAGUACAUAUCAAAAUCAUUCCUAUGUCAUGUAUAUGAUGCAUCUUUUAUGCCUUUCGCUCUUAUAGUUGCACUUUUGCACUUAAGACCCUAUAUUAGCUAAGGCUAUAUAUACUAGUCCCUCCGAUCCAUAAUAAUUGACGCAACCUCUAUACAAUAUCUUACUUACAUUGUAUAGAGGUUGCGUCAAUUAAUUUGGAUCGAAGGGAAUAAUAUGUUUUGUUUGCUAUCUUUGCAAGUAAUUUUAUUUGUAUGCUUAAUUAUAAUUGUUUUUAAAUUUAUUUCAUUCUACGAUAGAUUGUUUGGGUGCGAAGCCGCUUACUUACAUGAGUAUUAUCACCAGCACCAAGGCAAGUCGCAUUCUUUUGUGCAUGUCCAUGUACCUAUAUCUUUACUAAGCAUUUAGUAUAUUUUGAGUAGUAUGUAUGAGCAUGUUUAUAUAUUCUAAAUAUGCAAGUAUGAUCCCACUAUAGUUCAGUAAGUAGGUCUGAGUUCUAGUUACUUGUCUGUCGUUGUUGUAGUUUGCUUAAAGUAGGCGGAUACUUUGGUGAAGUGUAAUUCGUGGGAAGUUAUGAAUGAUAAUGUAAUAAGGAAAACCAACUAAAUUCGUGGUACGUGGGUGGAAUAGUAAUUAUAAAGUGGUGAGGUACAAUGUCAGCAUCAUGGAGAAUGUGAUCUCUUAAAAGAUUCACCUAUGGCAUUGCACACUAGUGAACCGCCGCUAAGGCUUAAAAAGACCAACCAGUUUUCACGAAUACUUGCUUCCAUGUGCAACCACAAGCAAUUUUGAGCUUUGUCUUAGUUGAGUAGGUUGUGGUGAACCUUGCCUUGUAGGCUACCCUCUGGAAGUCUCCGUCUUGAUCUUCUACCAGUUCUCCCAUGUUGAACACGAACCUCACCGGAUCUUCGACCUUCCGGCGCCUGCCGUCGAGUCGAUGACACGGUCACGAAGAUAGCGCCAACCAACCAAGCACGGUGCGCGCAGGCCAGAUCGCUUGCGACGGUGGCAACAUCUGCUGCAUGGUCACCACACAUCCCAGCCGGCGUCGCGGGUGACGACUUCCUCUAGAGCACACCGGAUCUCCAGGUCAAAGGACAUGGCGGUGUUGCUCCCUUUCCUUUCCGCUGCCACAUGGGCGCUUGCUGCAACCCGACGGUGUGAAGGAUUAGGAAGGCGCGCAGCCGCCCGUGCCCUAGAACGAGCUGUUGCUGCUGCAUCAUAACCACAUGGACUGCAUCAAAGCCAUUGCCUAUACAUCGCUACACCUCGUCGAAUAGCAACAGGAACAGAGCCCCCUUGCCGCCAUCGGCCACACAAGCAAACCCGGCGGCGACGGCAGCAACGAUGGGAGGACGCUUGGGCAGAGGCUCGCCGAAAAAAUGGAUCUGCAGGCCGCUCGUGUCGCCCACGUGGGCGACGCGGGGCAGCUCAGUUGGUAUAUGUCGUCUUUUUACAUACUCUGUUCUUGUUGGAAAAGAAAAUCCACACCUAUAGAGGCAAAACGCAGCAAGCCGUUGGAUUUCUCGUCGUCCGAAGGUAGAACAACAAGUAUCGUACGUAUAGCGGUUUGGAUACACAGGCGUGACUACUACUCCGUAUACGUAGAAUGAGGUAAUGUACAUAAAUGCGAGAACAGUUACUCCCACCCCCCCACCCCUACAGCCUGCAGCUGAAUUUACAGCGACAACAGUACUUGCCUGUACGUGCUGCAACCUGCAAUGCCAUGUGGUAACUUCAAAGCUAGCUAGCGCUCUUUCUUUUCAGUUUUGAUAAUAAUUUGUUUUUCCUUCUUACUAUUGCUGAGCAGUGGUGUUUUAUUCAUCCUCUGCCUUGGUCUUAAUUUAUACUAGUGCAGUACUACUACCUCCGUCUCAUAAUAUAAACGAUUUUAUAUUAUGGGACCAAUGGAGUAGUUAAUUAACUGGGAAUUGUUAAUUGGGCUUCCAACUCGUGUCGUCUAAAGACAUCUCUUUCUUUUUCUCUUCAGUUUUUUCUACUCCAGUACCGUUCAAGAUAUCGGUGAUGGGACUUAAGAAAAACUUGUCUAGAUCGUCAAGUUUCAUUCCAAUCGACACUACUGAGCUUAGCAAUAUACUCCGACCAAAACACAACGUGAGUUUGCUGUUCCAACCAAAUGGUAGUCGAGCUCGUAAUUAACAAGUAGUAAACCAACAAAAGCUUAUACUACAAUAAUAUUCCAUUCAUUUCAUCAUCACUUACCACAGCACAAGCGACACGUACAUCUAGCAUUAUUCAUAUGCCUCAAGAACAUGCACCACUACUACAGAUAACCAAGAACUUAACACGAACGAGCGAUAGAGAUUGACCUAACGACGUAAUUAAGCGACAAACACAACAAACAAAUCGAGUUCUCCAAACGUACGUACGCGCGGCGUAUAGCGCCCACAGAACCAUGCAUGCAC
rnacentral:lncRNA from 1 species